rnacentral:lncRNA from 1 species
CAGCUCGCAAAACAACAAGUUGAAAAUUUUGAGCAAUAUGAAAGACAAUACUGAACGUAAAUACGUAAAAACACACUAAAAGAUAGGUUAAACUAGUUAAUAACAUACGUACUGUUCGAAUUCAGAAAAAAUUAGGAUUAUAAUGAAAAACUGGGGCUUUCUUUGUAGAUAAAAACGCCAAAAAACUUCCCACGGCUUGUUUCAAUAUUUUUGCCGAACAGUAAACACGAUUCCACGCGCAGGUCGCGAGGAUGAAGUCUGAUCUAUAUAAAUCGUAUUUAAACUGUACUAACUGUAGGGAGCCCAGUGCUCUCACUUUUAAGGAAUUAUCCUUAAAAAUAGGAAUUUUGAAGAGUUUUGAGGAUUUUUUUAAGGAAUUUAGGUUUUUGAGGAUUUUUUUAAGGAAUUUCCGAAACAUUUUAUCCUGGACUAAAAACGUUGGAUGGAGGAUAACCACGCCACGCAAAUGAGAUUUAAACUAAAGUAGCAACAUUAUACGCACAUAAUUACAUAUAUUUGUAUGUUCUCUAUGUCAUAAAUGUACAUAUGGCUGUCUUUUCCAGUGGCGGACACUAGGGGGGGGGGGCUAAUAAUUUUGAAAGACUGCAGAAAUCUUGUACCAAAUAACACAAAUCACACUCAUAUAACGUAAUUGUCAUCAUAAUAUAAUAGCAUAUGUUUCUGUACAUGGCUUGGUAUGUGAUUUAUAACAAAACCCUAGUUUUUUACAAAAUAUGUUCUCAGAACGCUGCAAAUGCCAUUUCCGGGAUUCAAAUUAAAAAAAUUUUCGGCACGAGCUCCCCCCCCCCGAAUAUUUCGUAAAGUGUCCGCCACUGAUCUUUUCAUUAAAAUUCUCAAAAGUUAAAUGUCAGUAUAUGCUGUUUCUUCUGAAAUCUACAGAUUUUUUAAGCACUUCAUGCAGCAACGAUCAAAAAUACAUCAUGUUGAAUGUUUUCUUUAUGGCAUUAUGCUAACAAUCAAAUGUUUUCAAUUUUUAGUGCUUAGAAACAAGGUUAUAAAAACUGAAAAACAGAAAAAAGGAGGAAAAAACACUUUUUGCAACUGUGUGAUCAGGCCUUGUGGUAAAAAUACCAAUUUAAGGAAUUUUAAGGAAAUCUGAG